UGGGGAAUUUUGGACAAUGGGCGAAAGCCUGAUCCAGCAAUGCCGCGUGUGUGAAGAAGGCCUUCGGGUUGUAAAGCACUUUUGUCCGGAAAGAAAUGGCUCUGGUUAAUACCUGGGGUCGAUGACGGUACCGGAAGAAUAAGGACCGGCUAACUACGUGCCAGCAGCCGCGGUAAUACGUAGGGUCCAAGCGUUAAUCGUAAUUACUGGGCGUAAAGCGUGCGCAGGCGGUUGUGCAAGACCGAUGUGAAAUCCCCGAGCUUAACUUGGGAAUUGCAUUGGUGACUGCACGGCUAGAGUGUGUCAGAGGGGGGUAGAAUUCCACGUGUAGCAGUGAAAUGCGUAGAGAUGUGGAGGAAUACCGAUGGCGAAGGCAGCCCCCUGGGAUAACACUGACGCUCAUGCACGAAAGCGUGGGGAGCAAACAGG
rnacentral:rRNA from 1 species